rnacentral:rRNA from 1 species
UGGGGAAUUUUGCACAAUGGGGGCAACCCUGAUGCAGCGACGCCGCGUGAUUUAGAAGGCCUUCGGGUUGUAAAAAUCUUUUGUAUGGGAAGAAAAUGACAGUACCAUACGAAUAAGGACCGGCUAAUUACGUGCCAGCAGCCGCGGUAAUACGUAAGGUCCGAGCGUUGUCCGGAAUCAUUGGGCGUAAAGGGUACGUAGGCGGAUAAGCAAGUUAGAAGUGAAAUCCUAUAGCUCAACUAUAGUAAGCUUUUAAAACUGCUCAUCUUGAGGUAUGGAAGGGAAAGUGGAAUUCCUAGUGUAGCGGUGAAAUGCGCAGAUAUUAGGAGGAAUACCGGUGGCGAAGGCGACUUUCUGGCCAUAAACUGACGGUGAGGUACGAAAGCGUGGGUAGCAAACAGG